GAGACUUUGAAAUUUCUAUUUCACUGAAACAAUUUUUCGCAGACCACAGUUUUUUGUGGAACCAAACGGCCUCCAGGGUAAAAGGAUAUUUUGCUUUCUUUCUAGUUUAAUUUUGUCUCUUUUCAUGUUAUUGGUCUUCGAGAUGGAUUCUUGGUAGUCAAUUAUUUUAUUAUGUUUUUGAUUAAAGCAAUUUAAUAUAUUUCUAAGUUUUUGUGUUUGGUCAAUCUUUAAGCCUGUAAGUUCAUCUCUUACUUGAUAAGAUGCCAUUCUGUGAGAGAUCUUUAUGACAUAAAGAGGUUCUUGAUCUUUAUGAUUUUUUUUUGUCUUCACGGUUGCUUACAAGUGUUUGUAGUUUUCUGCUGCAAGGAUAAUAUGAUUUCAUAAUGAUUUGUAUUUGCUUGAUUUUCUUGCUAUAAGAUUAUUUUUUAUUCUAUGAAUCAAGACGACAAUUUUUCUGUUAACAGGGAAGUUACUUUUUGAUCUUAUUUCUUAUAUGAAGAACGUAUUACUUUUGGUCGGUAAAUAGAUGCAAUGCUUACAUAAUGCGUAGUAACUGGCUUCCGGCUUUAGAAUUACAAACUUCUUACUUUCUUACGGAAGGUCCUCUUUUCGUCGACCUUUUUUCUCUAGUUCAGCUGUACAUAAUCGUUCGUUUAUUUAUACUAAGUUUGAGCUUUUGGGCUUUGGUAUUGCUUCAAUCACCUUUUGAAAUAAAUUUUAGCUAUGCUAUUUGCAGUUAAAGUUCAUCAUUAUCCGGAGCUUUUUAAUGUAGGCUGAAAUUUUAAUUCAUUAUUAUUUGGACGUGUUUAUAUUUCGGUUUGGUAUGAGUUGCUAUGAAUAGUUGGAGCUUAAGAGUAAAAAAUGGGGAUUUAAUAAAUGGUGAUUGCAACUUUUAGUCACUUUGUUGUCAGUUUCAGUUUCUUGUUAGUUGUUUGGUCACCUUUUUCUUUAUUGAUGGUUUUACCAAUUUAUUUGUAUGAAAGAUUUGGUAUAACUGGAAAGCAUUUCGAGCGGAGUGUAAUGAGAUUUGUGUGUGUGUGUGUGUGUGUGUGCGCGUGUGUCUCAAGCAUUGAAAUUAAUAUUGUUAUAUAUCUUUAUUAUUUCUGCUAUACUUGUGCUUUGAAGAAAUUUAUCAACUGUAUGCUGUGUUUAUCCUUAUUGGCUGCAAAUAGUCGGAGCAAAUAGUGAUGAGUUAGUGAGUUCGAUUGUAUAUUGUUCCCAUUUAUUUUAUUACAUUUUGUGUAGCGAAUGAUAUUGUUCGCACUAUAAAUCCUUACUCUAUUAUGACUUUAGUUUUGUUCUAAUAUAUGUAGUUUCAUAAUAUCUAUAAAUUGAUCUUUUUUAGUUAUUAAGAAAUUUAGACUCUAUUCUUACUGCACUUAGCUAUUUUUAUGGCCAUUAGAGAUCAAAUCUCUUUAGAAACUAUUUUCUUUUUUAAUGAAAUUUAGUAAAAGAAUUUAUGCGAAUGUGUGCCAAGUGCAAAGAACUCAUACCAAUGUGUACUAAAAUGAUAGUGGUGUGCCGCUAGCGUGGAGGGGCGUGUCAGCAUUCGCAUGUCUUGUGCUGCUGUGUCGUGUUGUGCUGUGCCAUUAGUAUGGUAAUCCUUGUAUCACAAAGGAAAAAUAAAUUUUUCGUUCUUUUACUUUUCCUUUAAAACAAUUACAGUCCAAAAACUUUUUUUUUUCCUAAAAAUACCAAACAUCUGAGACUCUGAAAUUUCUAUUUCUCUGAAACAAUUUUUCGCAGAACACAGUUUUUUGUGGAACCAAAUGGCCUCCAGGGUAAAGGAUUUUUUGCUUUCUUUCUAGUUUAAUUUUGUCUCCUUUCAUGUUAUUGGUCUACGAGAUGGAUUCUUGGUAGUCAAUUAUUUUAUUAUGUUUUUGAUUAAAGCAAUUUAAUAUAUUUCUAAGUUCUCAUGUUUGGUCAAUCUUUAAGCCUGUAAGUUCAUCUCUUGAUAAGAUGUCAUUUUGUGAGAGAUCUUUAUGACAUAAAGAGGUUCUUGAUCUUUAUGGUUUUUUUUGUGUUCACGGUCGCUUACGAGUGUUUGUAGUUUUCUGCUGCAAGAAUAAUAUGAUUUUAGAAAUGAUUUGUAUUUGCUUGAUUUUUGUGACGCCCUAACUUUCCAGGGGUCACCCAUCCUAGGACUACUCCCGUCCUAGCACACUUAACUCUCUUAACCUCUUGGACCUUACCACCACCCAAAAUAUUUAAGCCGGGUUAAGAGUUUUUAAUCCUAUUAUAUUUUAUAUAUAGGACUACAUGGGGUCUCACAAUCUCCCCUUUUAAGCCCUGACAUUCUCCUCAGGCUCAAACUCACAAGUACCAGGUGACAUUCUUGUUUAUUUAUACUAAGUUUGAGCUUUUGGGCUUUGGUAUUGCUUCAAUCACCUUUUGAAAUAAAUUUUAAAGUUCAUCUUUUCCUGGAGCUUUUUAAUGUAGUUUGAAAUUUUAAUUCAUUAUUAUUUGGACGUAUUUAUAUUUCGGUUUGGUAUGAGUUGCUGUGAAUAGUUGGAGCUUAAGAGUGAAAAAUAGGGACAAUAAAUAGUGAUUGCAACUUUAAAUCACUUUGUUGUCAGUUUUAGUUUCUGUUAGUUGUUUGGUCACCUUUUUUCUUUAUUGAUGGUUUUACCACUUUAUAUUAAAGAUUUGGUAUAACAGGAAAGCAUUUCGAGUAAUGAGAUUUGUGUGUGUGUGUGUGUUUGUCUCAAGCAUUGAAAUUAAUAUUGUUAUAUAUCAUUAUUAUUUUUGCUAUGCUUGUGCUUUGAAGAAAUUUAUCAACUGUAUGCUGUGUUUAUCCUUGUUGACCGCAAAUAGUCAGAGCAAAUAGUGAUGAGUUAGUUCGAUUGUAUAUUGAGACCAACUAUACAAAUAAGAAGACUUUUUCCCAUUUCUUUUAUUUCUUUUUGUGUAGCGAAUGAUAUUGUUCGUACUAUAAAUCCUUACUCUAUUAUGACUUUAGUUUUGUUCUAAUAUGUAGUUUCAUAAUAUCUAUAAAUUGAUCUUUUUUAGUUAUUAAGAUAUGUUGACUCUAUUCUUACUGCACUCAGCUAUUUUUAUGGCCAUUAGAGAUCAAAUCUCUUUAGAAACUAUUUUCUUUUUUAAUAAAAUUUUGUAAAAGAACUUAUGCAAAUGUGCGCCAAGUGCAGAGAACUCAUACCAAUGUGUACUAAAAUGACAGUGGUGUGUCGCUAGCGUGGAGGGACGUGUCAGCAUUCGCAUGUCUUGUGCUGUCGUGUCGUGUUGUGCUGUGCCAUUGGCAUGGUAAUCCUUGUAUCACAAAGGUUAAAUAAAUUUUUCGUUGUUUUACUUUUCCUUUAAAACAAUUACGGUCGAAAAAAUUUUUCUUUCCGACAUACCAAACAUCUGAGACUCUGAAAUUUCUAUUUCACUGAAACAAUUUUUCGCAGACCACAGUUUUUUUUGUAGCCAAACAGCCUCCAGGGUAAAAGGAUUUUUCGCUUUCCUUCUAGUUUAAUUUUGUCUCGUUUCUUGUUAUUGGACUUUCAGAUGGAUUCUUGGUAGUCAAUUAUUUUAUUAUGUUUUUGAUUAAAGCAAUUUAAUAUAUUUCUAAGUUUUCUUGUUUGGUCAAUCUUUAAGCCUGUAAGUUUUUCUCUUACUUGAUAAUAUGCCAUUCUGUGAGGCAUCUUUCUGACAUAAAGAGGUUUUUGAUCUUUAAGGUUUUUUUUUGUGUCACGGUCGCUUACGAGUGUUUGUAGUUUUCUGCUACAAGAAUAAUAUGAUUUCAGAAAUAAUUUGUAUUUGCUUAAUUUUCUUGCUGUAAGAUUAUUUUUUAUUCUACGAAUCUAGACGACAAUUUUUCUGUUAACCGGGAAAUUACUUUUUGAUCUUAUUUCUUAUAUGAAGAAUGUAUUAGUUUGGUUGGCAAAUAGUUGCAAUGCAUACUAUAUGCAUAGUAACUGGCUUGCUGUUUUAGAAUUGCAAACUUCUUACUUUUUUUGGAAGGUCCUCUAUUCGUCGAUCUUUUUUCUCUAGUUCAGUUGUACAGAAUUGUUCAUUUAUUUAUACUAAGUUUGAGCUUUUGGGCUUUGGUACCGCUUCAAUAGCCUUUUGAAAUAAAUUUUAGCUAUGCUAUUUGCAAUUAAAGUUCAUAUUUCCCUAGAGCUUUUUAAUGUAGUCUGAAAUCUUAAUUCAUUAUUUUUUGGACGUGUUUAUAUUUCGGUUUGGUAUAAGUCGUUGUGAAUAGCUGUAGCCUAAGAAUAAAAAAUAGGGAUUUAAUAAAUGGUGAUCGCAACGCUUAGUCACUUUGUUGUCAGUUUCAGUUUCCUGUUAGUUGUUUGGUCACCUUUUUCUUUAUUGAUGGUUUUGCCACUUUCUUUUAAAGAUUUGGUAUAACAGGAAAGCAUUUCGAGCAGAGCGUAAUGAGAUUUCUGUGUGUGUGUGUGUGUGUGUGUGUGUGUGUGUGUGUCUCAAGCAUUGAAAUAAAUAUUGUUAUAUAUCUUUAUUAUUUCAGCUGUGCUUGUGCUUUGAAAAAAUUUAUCAACUGUAUCAUGUGUUUAUCCUUGUUGACUGCAAAUAGUCGGAGCAAAUAGUGAUGAGCCAGUGAGUUCGAUUGCAUAUUGAGACCAACUAUACAGAUAAGAAGACUUUUUCCCAUUUCUUUAUUACUUUUUGUCUAGUGAAUGAUAUUAUUCGUACUAUAAAUUCUUAUCCUAUUAUGACUUUAGUUUUGUUCUAAUAUAUGUAGUUUCAUAAUAUCUAUAAAAUUAACUUUUUUAGUUAUUAAGAUAUUUAGACUCUAUUCUUACUUCACUCAGCUAUUUUUAUGGCCAUUAGAGAGCUCAAAUAACUUCAGAAAUAAUUUUCUUUUUUAAUAAAAUUUAGUAAAAGAACUUUUCCGAAUGCAUGCCAAGUGCAGUGACUUCAUACCAAUGAGUAAUAAAAUGAGAGUGGUGUGCCACUAGCAUGGAGGGGCGCGUCAGCAUUCGUAUGUCCUAUGCUGCUGUGUCGUGUUGUGCUAUGCCAUUAGCAUAGUAAUCCUUUUAUCACGAGAAAAAUAAAUUUGCCGUUAUUUUACUUUUCCUUUAAAACAAUUACGGUCCAAAAACUUUUAGUUUCCUACGAAUACCAAACAUUUGAGACUCUGAAAUUUCUAUUUCACUGAAACAAUUUUUCGCAGACCACAGUUUUUUGUGGAGCCAAACAGCCUCCA
rnacentral:lncRNA from 1 species